GGAUGACUUAGAACAGCAGAAUAGGUAAUGAAGGAGUUGGUGUGAGUAUAAAUGUGGGUAUUGGGAGUGCUUAAUUCACAACACAUAUCAAUAUAAUUCUAUANUACUCACUCUCUCUAUUUCAUCAUCAUCAUGAAUAUUCUCAAAAUUAUGAUGUUUAUGUUUGUGGUGAGUGUGGUGUUGCAGGUUGCUUAUGGACAACACCAUAUCCGAUGCAUUCCAAAUGAGAGGGAAGCACUCCUUCAAUUCAAGGCUGCCAUUGUCGAUCGUUACGGUAUGCUCUCCUCUUGGACCACUCCCGACUGUUGCCAAUGGGAGGGGAUUCGCUGCAGUAACCUCACCGCUCAUAUUAUAAGCCUCCACCUUCCUGGACAGUAUUAUUAUGAAGUCUCUUGGCGUUACAUCAGCGGAGAGAUCCACAAGUCGUUAAUGGAGUUGCGACAGUUGCAGUAUUUGAACCUCAGUUUCAAUUAUUUUCGAGAGACUAAUAUUCCAGAGUUUCUUGGAUCUCUUACCAACUUGAGAUAUCUUGAUCUCUCUUCAUCUUAUUUUAGCGGACAAAUUCCAACUCAGAUAAGUUCUCUUUCUCAUUUGAAAUAUUUGAAUCUAUCAAGAAAUUACUAUUUGAAUGGUUCAAUCCCUCGUGAAAUUGGAAAUCUCUCUCGGUUAGAGUAUCUUGAUCUCAGUGACAAUUCUUUUGGAGGAUACAUUCCUUCCCAACUAGGAAACCUUUCAAAUUUGCAUAAACUCUAUCUUGGAGGAUAUCGUAGUGCUCUCAAAAUUGUCACUAGUGAUCAAUGGUUAUAUAAUCUUAAUUCUUUAACCCAUCUUUCCUUCACUUUCAUAUCUAAUUUUAAAAGUUCUCCUAGCUGGCUUCGAACCAUUGCCAAGCUACCAAAACUAAGAGAACUCAGUUUAAUUGGAUGUGGCCUUUCCGAUCAUUUCCUCCUUUCAUUCAACCCUUCCAACUUCAAUUUUUCUACUUCCCUUUCUGUCCUUGUUCUUUCUAGUAACUCCUUCACGCAACCGAUGAUAUUUCAGUGGCUGUCAAACACCACUUCCAACCUUGUUGAGCUUGAUCUAAGUUGGAACCUCUUGAAGGGUAUUACGUCAAAUCAUUUUGGCUUGGCCAUGAAUUCGCUCAAGCACCUUUACCUCUCGUAUAAUGUUUUCAAGGGUGAAGAUUUGAAAUCAUUCAUGAAUAUAUGCACCCUACAUUCAUUAUACAUGGAUGGAAACAAUAUGACCGAAGACCUUUCGUCAAUUCUUCAUAAUUUCUCCAGUGGUUGUGUUAGAUACUCAUUACAAAAAUUGAGUUUGGUAUCUAAUCAUAUCAGAGGCUCCGUACCUGACCUUUCAGCAUUUUCAAAUUUAAAAAUGUUGGAUCUUUCUUACAAUCAAUUGAGUGGGAAGAUACCUGAAGGCACUAGAUUGCCAUCUCAUUUGAAGCAGUUGUUAAUUAAGUCUAACUCUUUAGAAGGUGGUGUUCCAAAAUCAUUUGGGAGNACAUGUACUUUGGAGUUAUUGGAUUUGNCUGAUAAUAAGUUGAGUGAAAAUCUCACAGUGAUGUUUAAUCAUUUGUCUGGAUGUUCUAGAUACUCACUACAAGAGUUGAGUUUGGCAUACAAUCAAUUCAGAGGCUCCAUACCUGACCUUUCAGCAUUUUCAAAUUUAAAAGUGUUGGAUCUUUCUGACAAUCAAUUGAGUGGUACUUUGCCUAGCAACCUCGCAACAAUGUGCCCAUCAUUAAAAGAAUUGUACCUUGAUAGUAACAGGCUAAAUGGGACAAUUUCUGAAGAUCUUCGAUUUCCACCCGAACUUGAGGUAUUAAACUUGAUGUCAAACUCUUUGAAAGGUGUGUUAACUGACUCUCAUUUUUAUAAUAUGACAAAGUUAGGGAUAUUGAUGUUGUCAGAUAACUCAUUGACGUUAGAAGUUAGUGAAAAUUGGGCUUCAACUUUUCAAUUGGAUACUAUUGAAUUGAGGUCUUGCAAGCUUGGUCCAUUGUUUCCCAAAUGGCUAGAGAAACAAAACAAAUUUCAAGACCUUGACAUUUCAAAUAGUGGAAUAUCAGGUACNGUUCCAAAAUGGUUUUGGACCAAAUUUGGAUUCUCAAGUUGGAUGAGUAUUAAUAUUUCAUGUAAUAAUUUACAAGGUACGAUUCCAAAUUUACCAUUAGAGAAUAAAUAUUAUUCUCUUAGUCUGGCAUCAAAUCAAUUUGAAGGUNAUGUUCCACCAUUUUUACGAGACUCAAUAUUUCUUGAUCUAUCAAACAAUAAAUUCUCAAAUUCUUCUUNGUUUUUAUGNUCUAGUGGUGUAGUUGAAANUUUAUNCCGAUUAGACCUUUCANAUAAUAUGUUUUCUGGACAAAUUCCAGAAUGUUGGACCCAUUUCAAAUCAUUGGCUUACUUAAAUAUGAGUCAGAACAAAUUUAUAGGAGAGAUUCCCUCUUCAAUGGGAUCACUCCUUGAACUUCAAGUUUUGUUAUUGAGAANCAAUAGCUUAACAGGUAAAAUCCCUUCCAUCUUGAAGAAUUGCACACAAUUGGUGAUGAUAGACAUAGCAGAAAAUAGAUUAUCAGGAUCUAUCCCAAAUUGGAUAGGAAACAAAUUAUCGCAGUUGCAAUUUUUGAGCUUAAGAAGCAACUAUUUCCGUGGGAGUUUACCGUUACAAAUUUGUUAUCUAAAAAGCAUUCAACUCUUAGAUCUCUCUCAAAACAACCUAUCCGGAGAAAUUCCUAAAUGCAUAAAAAACUUUUCCUCAAUGACUCAAACCACUUCUUUGAGAGAUUAUCAAGGUCAUCAAUAUUCAGUCAACACUAAUUAUAUCUCAGGUAACUUUUCAUAUGAUUUGAAUGCAAUCUUAAUGUGGAAAGGUUCAGAAGAAAUGUUCACAGACACAGGAUUAUCACUUUUAAAAAGCAUUGAUCUCUCAAGCAAUCAAUUAUCAGGAGAAAUUCCAAAAGAAAUAGAGGGUUUAUUUGGAUUGGUGUCAUUGAAUUUAUCAAGAAACCAAAUCAAAGGGAAAAUUCCUUCAAAUGUUGGAGAGUUAACAUCACUUGAAUUUCUUGAUUUGUCACAAAACCAACUUGUUGGUUCUAUUCCUUCAAGUCUUGCUCAAAUUGAUCGACUCACUAUGUUAGAUUUGUCACAUAAUUAUUUAUCUGGAAAAAUUCCAAUUGGUACACAAUUGCAGAGUUUUGAUGCAUCCAAAUAUGAAGAUAAUGUUGAUCUCUGUGGACCACCGUUAAAGAAAUUGUGCAUUGAUGGAGUUGCAAGACAAGAACCAAUUGUUAAAUUUCAAGAGGAUGACAAUUUAAUUUUCAACCGUGAAUAUUAUAUAAGUAUGACAAUUGGAUUUGUUAUAACCUUUUGGGGAGUGUUUGGCUCAAUCUUAAUAAUACGUUCUUGGCGUCAUGCAUAUUUCGAAUUCUUAAGUAAUUUAUCAGACAGCCUCUAUGUGAUGACAAUAGUGAAAGUUUUGAAGAGACUACACACAACAUAGCAGGUAAUAUAUUUUAACCUUUUGUUACAAACUUAAUAUUUU
rnacentral:lncRNA from 1 species